UUGUGCGGUCACCACAGCUUGAGCUACCUGGUUUGCACUGCAACUUAAAUUCAGCACCAGUGAUUGGAUACAUACACUUGGGAUCAGUGAAAUAGCAUGAGGCAGUUACAGAUGACAGCUAGUCGGACCUUGGCAAAGCUAUCACAGCUUGCUCCAGACCAAGAUGCUGCCAUUGCGACUGACGGACUUGACCAUUCUGUAGUAACUGAUGCACCGCCGGCAAAUAAUGUAGGCAACAAGCCCUUGUGGAAUUAUGUGGGAGGUGGAGGAAAUAGGCAAUUCAGAUGCAGGUUUUGUACUCAUGAAUACAAUGGAAGCUAUGCGAGAGUUAAAGCACAUUUGCUUAAGAUAAGAAAUAAGGGGAUAAUAAGGUGUCCAAGUGCGACAGAUUCUACUUUUCAACAGCUUCAAAAUUAAGUUGCGGCGGCUGAAGAUCAAGUUUAUGGUGCAUUUCCAUGUUUCUAUCACCUUAUCAAGUUAUUAGAAUUCCUUAAUUAGUUGCUAUUGUGUGUGAACUCGUCUUACUCCUAUGAAGAAUCAUUACUUUUGGUAUAUUUAUAUAUAUUCAAACGUA